rnacentral:rRNA from 1 species
CAGUCGCCGCGGUAAUACGGAGGAUCCAAGCGUUAUCCGGAAUCAUUGGGUUUAAAGGGUCCGUAGGCGGUCUUGUAAGUCAGUGGUGAAAGCCCAUCGCUCAACGGUGGAACGGCCAUUGAUACUGCAGGACUUGAAUUAUUGGGAAGUAACUAGAAUAUGUAGUGUAGCGGUGAAAUGCUUAGAGAUUACAUGGAAUACCAAUUGCGAAGGCAGGUUACUACCAAUUGAUUGACGCUGAUGGACGAAAGCGUGGGUAGCGAACAGGAUUAGAUACCCGCGUAGUCCCUGUCUCUUAUAC